ACCUGGCUGGCUCAGUUAGUAGAGCAUGAAACUCUUGAUCUCAGGAUUAUGAAUUCAAGCUCCAUGUUGGGUG
rnacentral:tRNA from 1 species